rnacentral:lncRNA from 1 species
CUUUCAUAGAUACUGAUUUCUUUUUUCUUCUUUUUAGAGAGAAAAGCACACUACACCAGAAAAAAAAGUAUUUUUAAUUUUCUUUUUUGAGAAAAAUAUCUAUAAGCAUCAUUAAAAUAUGAUUAUUAGAAUUCCUGAAUGAACAGACCUCUGGAAUUAAAAAGUCAGAAAAUGGAAAACUGAUGUUUGGAAAGCAACUAAAAAAUCAACGAUAUAGAAGAGAAUGAAAAUACUUCAAAGGAAGGGAGAAUUACCAAUUGCUGGGCAAAAGAUGGGAAAUCAUCAAGUAAAAAAACAGGAGACAAAGACAUGUUCUCCCUCUUGGAGAAGAGUGGGAAUCAGAGGGCAACUGGGAAACUCAGCAAAGAAAACCCUAAAAGGUUAUCUCCUCUCUGCUUAAUCAUUCCCUGGUGACUCAGAUGGCAAACAAUCUGCCUGCAAUGCAAGAGACCCAGGUUUGAUCCCUGGGGCAGGAAGAUCCCCCUGGAGAGGGGAAUGGCUACCCGCAGUGAACCAUCAUGUUGUGCUUAAAUUUCAAACAUUUCACAUAGUUUUUCAGUCCUGAGGGCUUAUAUUAUUGAAAUAAUCAAAUUCUUUAAAUGAAAGAAAAUUUUAUCACAGUGCUUCCUUUUUUUGUGACAAAAAAGAAAAUAAACUAAAUUUGUAAAAUUAC